rnacentral:misc_RNA from 1 species
AACGGUCUAUACCUGCGGUACCUGCGGAAGGAUCAUUACAGAGUUGCAAAACUCCCUAACCCUUGUGAACAUACCUGUACGUCGUUGCUUCGGCGGGUAGCCCCUUUACGGGGCCUCGACCUCCCAGCGAGGUUGCCCGCCGGAGGACCACACAAAACUCUUGAAUUAAUGGCUUCUCUGAGUAUUAAUCAAAUAAGUUAAAACUUUUAACAAUGGAUCUCUAGAUCGGAAGAGCACACG